rnacentral:rRNA from 1 species
AGAGUUUGAUCAUGGCUCAGGAUGAACGCUGGCGGCGUGGAUAAGUCAUGCAAGUCUAACGGCCCGCAAGGGCAGUGGCAGACGAGGUAGUAAUAAUUAGGUACGCACCCCGGAGUCGGGCAUAGCUAGCCGAAAGGUUAGGUAAAUCCCGAUAGUCCCCUGAGAGAAAUCGAAUGGGGUAAAAAUUUAUUGCUCUGGGAGCGGCCUGAUCGGUAUCAGCUAGUUGGUAAGGUAAUGGCUUACCAAGGCUAUGACGCCUAGGGGACCUGAGAGGGUGACCCCCACCGAUGGGACUGAGAUACGGCCCAUACACCUACGGGUGGCUGCAGACGAGAAUAUUCGACAAUGGGCGAAAGCCUGAUCGAGCGACGCCGCGUGGAGGAUGAAGUGCUUCGGCAUGUAAACUCCUUUUGCCAGGGAAAAAGUUAUUGAUUGUACCUGGAGAAUAAGAAGUUGCUAAACUCGUGCCAGCAGCAGCGGUAAUACGAGUGCUUCGAGCGUUAUCCGGAAUCAUUGGGCGUAAAGGGUGCGUAGGCGGUUUUGUUAGUCUCUUGUAAAAUUCCUCGGCUCAACCGAGGGCUCACGGGGGAAACGGCAAGACUCGAGUAUGGAAGGGGUCUUCGGAACUCAUGGUGUAGCGGUGAAAUGCGUUGAUAUCAUGGGGAACACCNAAGCGAAGGCAGAAGACUGGUCCAUUACUGACGCUGAAGCACGAAAGCGUGGGUCGCGAAUGGGAUUAGAUACCCUAGUAGUCC